UGAUCAGAUUUUUAUCAAUACAUUCUGGCACAACCGGCCCUUUAAGAGCAUUCAUGAUCCUGAUUUGACCCAAAACAAAGAUGAGUUUGACAUCCUUGUUCUAGAGAGAGAG